UACGGGGGGAGCAAGCGUUGUUCGGAUUUACUGGGCGUAAAGGGCGCGUAGGCGGCGUGGUAAGUCACUUGUGAAAUCUCCGGGCUUAACCCGGAAAGGUCAAGUGAUACUGCUGUGCUAGAGUGCGGAAGGGGCAACUGGAAUUCUCGGUGUAGCGGUGAAAUGCGUAGAUAUCGAGAGGAACACCUGCGGCGAAGGCGGCUCGCUGGACCGGUCCUGACGCUCAGGCGCGAAAGCGUGGGGAGCGAUCCGG
rnacentral:rRNA from 1 species